UACAUGCAAGUCCAGGCCUUGUACACACCGCCCAAGGGCGAAUUCGCCCUUCAGGCCUAACACAUGCAAGUCGAGCGAGGUGCGUGAUUUUCGGAUUUUGCACUUAGCGGCGGACGGGUGAGUAACACGUGGAAACAUGCCCUUUACUGCGGAAUAGCCACUGGAAACGGUGAAUAAUACCGCAUGCACCCUACGGGGAAAAGAUUUAUCGGUAGAGGAUUGGUCCGCGUUGGAUUAGGUAGUUGGUGGGGUAAAAGCCUACCAAGCCGACGAUCCAUAGCUGGUUUGAGAGGACGAUCAGCCACACUGGGACUGAGACACGGCCCAGACUCCUACGGGAGGCAGCAGUAGGGAAUAUUAGACAAUGGGGGCAACCCUGAUCUAGCCAUGCCGCGUGAUUGAUGAAGGCCUUAGGGUUGUAAAAAUCUUUCGCUAGGGAUGAUAAUGACAGUACCUAGUAAAGAAGCCCCGGCUAACUCCGUGCCAGCAGCCGCGGUAAG
rnacentral:rRNA from 1 species